ensembl:lncRNA
AUCUCUUUCUGGAGAUUGUUUCUGUUGGAGGUUUUCUGUGAGCUGAGGACAUGGGUCCUCUGUACCCUGAGACUCAUUCCUACUAAGAGUCUGAGAGUCACAAUGAGAACUUCUGAACACUAGAAGAAGUAUGUUUCAGGAAAACAUGGAACUUAGUUAUUGGAAGAGCAUUCUUUUUCUAGAAAGGAUUGGUUACUUGGAUACACAGUGGAUGGUACUAAGGCUAAAAGUGUCUGAAAUAUUUUCAAAUUUGUCUUGUCUCUUAUCUAAAAUACAGGAACAAGCGUGUAAUUUCUGGUUAAAACUUUUGUUUGGAAUGGUUUAGCAAUUAGAGUGCAGUUUAACCAGAUAUUGCAACAAAUUUUAUUCAUGCUAUUUCAGAAAAAACAAAACAAAAAAACCAAUCAUACGACUUCUAGCAGGUUCCCCAGAGCUAAAGUUUUCCUGUCUUUGAGUGAUGCUCAAUGAAGAUAUAAUUGUUUUUAUUGCGUAUACAUCUUUGCUGAAAUCAAGUGGUUUUAGUUAUUGAAAUUUUUGAUGACAGCUUUCAUUCUUUCACUCAGCUUUCUCAAACACUUAUUAGUUUCUGUUGCUUCACAAGAGCUGCUCCAAAAGUAAUGCCUCCUACUUUAUUAUAUGAGUCAACCUACCCAGAGGUAUGUGUUGGCAUUAUGACAGUAGAUUGAGCCUUGCCACCAAUAUUCCAUUACAUUUUGUUGCAUGUGACAGAUGGCAGCAGAGGAGCAGCCUGACAAAACGAUCUUCACAUGGAAGUUUAUGUGAAGAAAGUGUCAUUGAAUUCCUCCAUGGGAGAAAAAUGGCAUUCACUGAUAUCAUCAAUGUGUUCUGAAUGUUUAUGGUGACCAAACAGUGAAUGUCAGUGCAGUGAGUGGUGUUUUAACAGUGGUGACAGUGGUUCACCUCUACUGAUAAAGAUUUGUACAAGUGUGGCAUGCAGGCCAUUGUUCAUCACUGGUGAAAAUGUAUUACUAAUGGUGGUGGCUGUAGAGAAAGUGUUUUGUAGCUGAGAAUUUGCUUUAUCAAAUGAUGUUAUUGUCCUCUUUAUAUCUGUUGUACUUUACAUGGAAACAAACUGGAGGCAUUGCUUUCCUACUUAUAUGAAGGAGAUUCAUUUCUACUAUUAUCAAAAGUUUUAUCUACAAAGAAUAAUUUAGGGAUGUGUCAGUUCUUUCAGGUACUGUUUCACUGACAUCUGUAUUGAGCUGAACAUGUGAUUUAAAUAAUCAUAAGAGAUUAUAUAUAAAAUGGCUUCUAGAGCUGGAAGUCUUGCUUAACAAGGCUGUGUAAGCCAGGAAUUCUCUCAUCUAAUUGCUUCCUUUAAGAGAAGUCAUUUUUUUCCUGUUGGUCCAGUUUUGCAUUUUUAUAUUGAUCCCUUUAAAAGGAUGGCCUAGCUUUCCCCAUCUGCUCUUUAGUAUGUAAAAUAAUCAUCAAUGAGUCCUGUGGUAAACACUGAGUUCAAUUAUUCUUUCAAAAAUUGAAGGAAAAAGAGAAUCUUUCAAUAAUAUUAUUAAAUAGAAUUCAUCUACUACACAUCCUUUGAUCACUAUUAACUAACAUAAUGGAGUCAUCAUUUCCUGGCUUAGGAGAGAGCUGGAGUUUUGAUAUUCUCCCUUUUGCAAUUAAGCAAUCAUUCUCAAUCUUCCCUCCUCACCCUUCUCAGUUUCCCUUUCAGUUUCUGCUUUUCAUUCUGUGAUCCUUUGGUGUUUCAUACCUGAUGCUUCUGGCUUCAGAAACAAAGCAAAUGAGCAACCUUCUGUUCUCCCAUUGAGCUUUAGGCCUUCUAGGCACUACAUGAACUGAGGAUGUCGCAGUACAAACUUUGAAGAUGGUCUCUGGCAUUCAAGAAAAUUCAGAUAAAUUUGCCAGCAUAACGUAGCUCUUAAUUUUUUUAAAAAGUCUUUACAGUAGCACAAGUGCUAUCAUCUUUUAAUUGUCAUUAUAGAAACAAUUAUAGGGGAAAUAAUAUGGAACUAUGUGUUUAUGGAGUUUGUUUAUACAGUAUUGAUUUUUGAAUUAAGGUGAAUGUUUCUGUCUACAUAACAAAUAUCUGAAACAUUAUUUUGUAUUUUAAGAAGCUGUAGAUAGUGUUAGGAAUAUGAGAUUUAUUACCCUACCUUGCUGUUAAUGUUUGUAACACACAAGAGAAAACAGUUUGGUUUUUUUUAGGUUAUUCACUGUACAUACGUAUCAUUCACAAUAGUUUGUGUUAUAGAUGUAGAACUUCAAUUCUAACCUUCAAUUUUAUAAUUAAACAGUAAAAUUAUUUUUAAAAGUGCAUUUACAAUAACUUCUACGCAGAGCUUCUGCUCCAGUAGAUUAAAGAUGCUGCAACUACUAGUUCCUCUGAGAAUAUCUACAAUGCAGUAUUUACAUUGCGAGGAGAAACUGUUUAGCAUCUGAAUCUCUAUUGUGCUAUGUGUACACAUGUAGCCAUAGCACAAUCAUGAUUUAAAAUAUUCCAUUUAAACUGUAUCAUUUGUGACUACAUUUCAGACCAAUGCGUUAGUCUCCUUUUUAACAAAUCUCAUUAUUUAAUACUUCUGAAUAUAUGAGAAUGUCAUGGAUUAAUAAAAAUGUCUACUCUGCCUAAUAUAAGUGCAUAUAUUAUAUCUACAAAUGUGUUUAUUUGAAAGUGUAUCCUAGACUUCUCUGAAAUCUGUUGAAACAACAUACAAAUUAUACUUCUAUUUUU